ACUUCGGUCCUAGCGGCGAACGGGUGAGGAAUGCUUGGGAAUCUGCCUAGUAGUGGGGGAUAACGUUUCGAAAGGAACGCUAAUACCGCAUACGCCCUACGGGGGAAAGGGGGGGAUCUUCGGACCUCUCGCUAUUAGAUGAGCCCAAGUCGGAUUAGCUAGUUGGUGGGGUAAAGGCUCACCAAGGCGACGAUCCGUAGCUGGUCUGAGAGGAUGAUCAGCCACACUGGAACUGAGACACGGUCCAGACUCCUACGGGAGGCAGCAGUGGGGAAUAUUGGACAAUGGGCGAAAGCCUGAUCCAGCCAUGCCGCGUGUGUGAAGAAGGCCUUCGGGUUGUAAAGCACUUUAAGCGAGGAGGAAUGGCUCUGGGUUAAUACCCUUGAGCAGUGACGUUACUCGCAGAAUAAGCACCGGCUAACUCUGUGCCAGCAGCCGCGGUAAUACAGAGGGUGCAAGCGUUAAUCGGAAUUACUGGGCGUAAAGCGCGCGUAGGCGGUUGUAUAAGUUGGGUGUGAAAUCCCCGGGCUCAACCUGGGAAUUGCACUCAAAACUGUACGGCUAGAGUGUGGGAGAGGAAGGUAGAAUUCCAGGUGUAGCGGUGAAAUGCGUAGAUAUCUGGAGGAAUACCGAUGGCGAAGGCAGCCUUCUGGCCUAACACUGACGCUGAGGUGCGAAAGCAUGGGGAGCAAACAGGAUUAGAUACCCUGGUAGUCCAUGCCGUAAACGAUGUCUACUAGCCGUUGGGGGACUUGAUCCUUUAGUGGCGCAGCUAACGCAUUAAGUAGACCGCCUGGGGAGUACGGUCGCAAGACUAAAACUCAAAUGAAUUGACGGGGGCCCGCACAAGCGGUGGAGCAUGUGGUUUAAUUCGAUGCAACGCGAAGAACCUUACCUGGCUUGACAUGUC
rnacentral:rRNA from 1 species